AGCGACACAAAAGAUGUCAUCACAUGUCUAUAACAAAUAACGAAGCAAGCCCAGCAAGGUGACUUCGGCGGGGGGGUGGGGGGGGUAGAAAUACCGGUGCUCCCCAACAAUUCUUUCAACGGAUGUGUGAAAAAAAAAUGUGUAAAGAAAUGUUGAAAGCCAGCUAGGUCAGGACUGAAAGAGGAGGAAGGGGGACGAGGAGAGAGAGAAGAAGAGAAGAAGAAGAAGAGGGAGAGGGAGGGGAGGGGAGGGGAGGGGAGGGGAGGAAGAAGAGAGAAAGAGAGAGAUGCUAGAAAGAAAAGCCUCCUAGAACGUCUUUUUCGUUUUGGGCUUUUCCUAUUGAGGUGCCUAGAAGCGGAAGGAGUUUUCCCGCGAUCCCGGGGAUUAAUAAACGCUUUCCGGUUCCGUGGCAGGCGAGCUGGCAGGGAGAAAGGAGCUCGGCGCCUGUGGGGCGGGGCAUGCAAAUUAAAAAUGGCCGUUUCGCCCGGGAGCUAUGGGAGCAAAAAGAGAAAGCCUUGCAGCACAGAGAGAGACUCCGUUUGGUUUGGAGAAACUAAGGGGAAAAGAACAAGAAUCUCUGCCUGAUAAUCCGGAGAAUUCUUCCGGAUUUCGUCCAGGACCACCAGGGCAGUACCUCUACAAGUCUGUGAGAAUCACACCAUUAUUGAGCUUGGGGCACACAUACCCCUGGAAUACCCGAGGACACACAGAAACAAGGCCAGACUGGGAAAAAUACAAUAAAUACCGAACUCUUUCACGUGAAGACAAAACAAACAUCCAUGAUGGGCAUCAAGACCAUCCUAGAGACAGCGGACACCAGUACUCCAAGAUGGCUCGGUCCUACCAUUGAAGGACAAGAAGCUUCUGGAGGUCAAACUAGGAGAGCUGCCAAGCUGGAUCUUGAUGCGGGACUUCAGCCCUAGUGGCAUUGUCCGAGUGUUUCGAAGAGGUUACUACCAGUACUAUAACAAAGAUACCAACGUGAAGAAGGGCAGGAUCGCGGGGAUUACCAUGGUGCUGGCAUGCUACGUGGUCUUCAACUACACCUUUUCCUACGAGGAGCCCAAGCAUGAGCGGCAACGCAAGUACCACUGAAGAAGACAAGCUCUGCACUCCCCUCCACGGCCUUCUUGGCUUGAGCCCCUCCAUAAGGAACACAGUCUCGAUUAUUGCUGAAGCCUUUCAUAUCCUAAUGGAAUUAACCUCGAAGUAAAAGAUGACUGGUUAAAAACAAACAAACAAACAAAACCAUCCUAGAGUUGGCCGGGCGUGGUGGCUCACGCCUAUAAUCCCAGCACUUUGGGAGGCCCAGGCGGGUGGAUCACCAGGUCAAGAGAUCGAGACCAUCCUGGUCAACAAGGUGAAACCCCGUCUCUACUAAAAAUACAAAAAUUAGCUGGGCAUGGUGGCGCGCGCCCGUAGUCCCAGCUACUCGGGAGGCUGAGGCAGGAGAAUUGCUUGAACUCGGGAGGCGGAGGUUGCGGUGAGCCGAGAUUGCGCCAUUGCACUCCAGCCUGGGUAGCAAGAACGAAACUCCGUCUCAAAAAAAAAAAGAUAGUCUGGUGGCUCUUCAUUAACCCCUUUCUGGGAGCACUGAGAUCUUGUAACUAGGAAAUUGCUCAUGAUUAAGGGCCCCCAUUUAAAUCUUGCUGACCUCACACCAAAAAAUUAAAGGAACAGUAAUCUUUCCAAAACUCCUAUGAGAAUACAAAAAUAGUGGGAGAAUGUAGACUCAUACAGUUUCCAUUCAAGGUCUAGAACUGAAUCUCUACUCAGGUCAGGUCAGUUGCAGAACGAAAGACAUGGGCUUUAGACUUAAGAAGACUUGGGUCUGAGUUCUGAUGUCACUGCAUAACAACAGCUCUAGAUCUCAACUCAGAACAAACACAUAUCAAAUAAUUUGGAAGAUUAAAAGAGAUGAUGUACAAAAUGCCUGUCACGGUGCUAUUACUGUAACCAGGAACCUGCAUCUGAGUCUUCACAAAAGGUCAUCCGGGCCUAUGAAAACAACAGGAAGCUGAAACUCUAUAAACUCUAUAAACGAGUUUAUUUCCCUUCUAGCUUCCCUAGUUUUUAAUCUAUAAAAUAUGGACUUUAUCUGCCUUUACCUGCCCCUAGGGUUGAUAGAAGGGGAAAAAAAGAGAAAACAAAUGAGAGUGUGGUUUAGAAAGUAAUACUCGUAAAAUGAACUUAGAGUGGUACGAUAAUAAUAAUUUUUCUGGCUAACCCGAUGAGGGAUGAAGGUGGUGAGGGAGGAAGGCAGGGAGGGAUGAUAGGGUCCACUCCAUUUAUGCAAACCAACGGUUAAGUAGCCUGGAUCUGAGAACACAAGUUCAUGUGCCUUGGGUGCCUAUCUGAAAGGCCUUUGACAGGACAGCCUCCAGAAUGGAGAAGACAGCAGCACGUGCGCUCAACACACACACACACACACACACACACACACACUCUCUCUCUCUCUCUCUCUCUCUCUCUCUCUCUCUCUCUCUCUCUCUCUCUCGUUAAUAAUUUUCCAGGUGUUGUGGUGCUGAGAAAUGUGUCUAGGUAGCCGAUGGCGCUCUUCCAGAAUGGCCUAGCUAUGGUCCUGAGGUCAAAUGCGCCCUUUACAGACGUGGAAAUGGUUCAGGUUUGAGGCACGGGACUGCCUGCCUGUGGCAGCUGCAUUAGGAACCUCCUACACCCUUCCUGUAAGACUCAACUCCAAAUGUUAGGAAUUCAUAGGGCUCCUUAAAUCUUUGCUCUUAUUAAAAAAUAACCCAAUGAAGUUAAUGAAUUUCUCUCAUAGUCAUCUGGAGUGUGGCUGCUUGGCCUCUGGAUCUCCUCCUUGCUGGCAGGAGUCUCAAACAAAUUCGUGGCUGCUGUUCUCCACUCAGCCUCAAUGGGCAUGGAGAUGGUAAUACCACUCUUUCUCCUUUGCACCUUAUCAAUGUUUUGUUUUUAAAUCAAGCAAUGAGUUAUGGUGCCUUCAUUCUUUCCCAUGGAAGUUUCACCUUCUCAGAAGAUAACAGUUUCUGUCCAAUUUACAGACUUUAUGGUUAAAUACAACUUGUCAUUUAACUUUUAACACUAAAAGGACAAUGUAGGUGUGAUUAGACAGCAGUGGCUGGGAUCACUUAAUCUGUUUAGCUUUCCUUCUCCCAAAGGCCUGAUGGUGUGAGCAGAGCACACCCAGAGUUAAGAAGGGAUGAGGGUUGAUUUCAAUCAAUGCAAGAGGGGAGCACCUUGGUUUUGAGCCUGUGGUAGCUCUACAUGGGCCUCACAACAAAGUCUUCCCUAAAACUACAGUGAUUUGUAAUUGUAAGGAAUGGGGCCAAAGGGCCAAAGAAAGCAUCCUUACAAAGAGGAGAAUAAGAAGACUUGAGUAAUUAGAUGCUUAAGUGGCUGGGCUGGGUUUUUUAAAUGGGGAUCUGAAACCAAAGAAUAAAAGGCCUCUUUCCUAGAAAUGUUCCAGACCACGAGGUAACAAACAAGCCUCUCAUAUGUCCCAAAUUUACCUCUUAUCAUUUGUUGCUGCAGAGGGAUUAAUAAGCAAAUAUUAUCAAUUUGCUUCUUAGUAUAGGAACUUCCUUUGGGAAUAAAACCCUCAAUAUAAAAGACGAACCAGGCCGGGCGCGGUGGCUCAAGCCUGUAAUCCCAGCACUUUGGGAGGCCGAGGCGGGUGGAUCACGAGGUCAAGAGAUCGAGACCAUCCUGGUCAACGUGGUGAAACCCCGUCUCUACUAAAAAUACAAAAAAUUAGCUGGACAUGGUGGCGCGUGCCUUUAAUCCCAGCUACUCGGGAGGCUGAGGCAGGAGAAUUGCCUGAACCCAGGAGGCGGAGGUUGCGGUGAGCCGAGAUCGCGGCCAUUGCACUCCAGGCUGGGUAACAAGAGCGAAACUCCGUCUCAAGAAAAAAAAAAAAAAAAAAAAAAGAUGAACCCAGCUUAGGUGAGACAAGGUCACAGAGAAACUGGAGACAAGUGAUUACAGGGUGAGAACCCCGACCUUGCUAGCCACUUCAAACUUCUGCGGCUACAGGAGUCCUGGGGGCAUCAAUGUGUCCUACGGCACUCCCCUCAUGCUCAAGUCCUUAAACGGUGCCGAAAGGGCAGCGCUCAAGUGCACAUCUCCAAUGUUUGGGUAUUAGGCUAAAUCCUGCUUUGUGGCAGAAAGCCAGAAAACGCCGCAUAAAGAUCAGCAGCCUCCAGGAUCCUGAUAAGCAUUUGCUUGCUUAGAACACUAGUGUGGAGUGGGAAGGAGGGAGAUGAGGGCAAGACAUACAGAGGGGAUGAGAGCACGGAGGGUGCAGGAUGGGAGGUUAAUCACUGAUGCAUAGGCUGAGAGGUCAUCUGGUCCAAUCCUCCUCAUUUCACACAUGCCCGAAACUAACGGACACUUUAGCAAUGAGAAUCCGGCCCAUUUUGAAAAGCACUCAGAGAUGUAGUGUCUACCCCUUUCCCUGGCCAAAGCUGAACAGCUCUCAGUCCACCGUACUGAGGUGAAAUACCUCUCAGAACCCUACAGAUGAGAGACUAUCUGGACAAGUUUCUCAGUACUGACCGAUGGUUAUGUAGCUCUGCUAAUCCCAAACCAUUACAGUUUUGGUCAUCAGUCUUCUUUUUCCUUCUUUCUUUCUUUCUUUCUUUUUUUUUUUUUUUUUUUUUUUUUUUUUGAGACACAGUCUCACUCUGUUGCUCAGGCUCGAGUGCAGUGGUGUGAUCUUGGCUCACUGCAACUUUCGCCUCUUGGGUUCAAGCGAUUCUCCUGCCUCAGCCUCCUGAGUAGCUGGGACUACAGGCGCCUGCCACCACGCCCAGCUAAUUUUUGUAUUUUUAGUAGAGAUGGACUUUCACCAUAUUGGCCAGGCUGGUCUCGAACUCCUGACCUUGUGAUCCACCCGCCUUGGCCUCCCAAAGUGUUAGGAUUACAGGUAUGAGCCACUGCACCUGGCCGGCUCAUCAAUCUUUUAAUGCGGAGACUGGGUGGAUUGUGAGUCCGCUUUUAGAUUUCCAUGGGGACUGGCCCUGUAACCUAAAGGUCCAUCAGUACUGACAAAGAUAGUAUAAGAGAUGGCUGGUCUUCACUGACAGACACUCUAAAAACAUCUCAAGUAAAGGGUUCCUCAGUAUUAAUCAGGU
rnacentral:lncRNA from 1 species